rnacentral:lncRNA from 1 species
AUGUUCUUUCCUCCUGAAAAAAGUUUUCCUUGGGCAGGCUCUGAUUCAGCUAGGUGUUUAAUGCAUUAUGCAGGUGUCUGUAUGAAGAGGGACACAAACUCCCUAGUGACACUCAGGCUGCCUACACAGGAUCUGUGAUGGAGAACAUGGAGCUUGGACUGGAGGCAUCUCCUGAGGGUCACCAGGAAGAUCUGAUCAGGUUUACACACAACUUCCUACGUGUCCCCGUGUAUUUAAGGUGCAAAAAACUGAUGUGGAGAAUCUGCCCUGAUUCCUGGCAACUUGAGCAAUUAGUUGCAAUUUAUUGGCAAAGAAGAGGCAACUUUCCAGUUUCCCUGACUUCUUUAUUUUUUAAUAGAAUGGUUAACUUGGACUCGCCACCCCAUUGUGUCUGUAGUUCAGACUAAAACUGCUUCAGAUCAAUAACAUGGAGAACAGCUUUUCAAGUUCCUCAGCGUGGAAGAGCUAAAUCAUCAUGGGCUGUUCUUGUAGCUCUGUGUGUUACAGCAGCAUGUGGAGGGCAGAAGCUGAAAUGCUGUUAAGGAGUGGCUUGACCCCCAUGCAAGGAAUGCACUGUUAAGUAGUCUGAUUUUUUUUUACGUAAAAUUUACCUCAUUUUGGCUUUAUAACCCGUUCUUAGAUCUGUUGUAGGCAUUUGAUUUAACAAAUUUAAAGCAACAAUGAUGGAAGAGAUACUCUCCAAUUCGAUAA